GACAGAGGGUGCAAACGUUGUUCGGAAUUACUGGGCGUAAAGCGUGUGUAGGCGGCUAUGUAAGUCGGAUGUGAAAGCCCGGGGCUCAACUCCGGAACUGCCUUUGAGACUGGGAGGCUUGAACGUCGGAGAGGUGAGUGGAAUUCCGAGUGUAGAGGUGAAAUUCGUAGAUAUUCGGAAGAACACCAGUGGCGAAGGCGGCUCACUGGACGACUGUUGACGCUGAGGUGCGAAAGCGUGGGGAGCAAACAGG
rnacentral:rRNA from 1 species